UACGUAGGUGGCAAGCGUUAUCCGGAAUUAUUGGGCGUAAAGAGCGCGCAGGUGGUUGAUUAAGUCUGAUGUGAAAGCCCACGGCUUAACCGUGGAGGGUCAUUGGAAACUGGUCGACUUGAGUGCAGAAGAGGGAAGUGGAAUUCCAUGUGUAGCUGUGAAAUGCGUAGAGAUAUGGAGGAACACCAGUGGCGAAGGCGGCUUCCUGGUCUGUAACUGACACUGAGGCGCGAAAGCGUGGGGAGCAAACAGGAUUAGAUA
rnacentral:rRNA from 1 species